rnacentral:rRNA from 1 species
GAUGAACGCUGGCGGCGUGCCUAAUACAUGCAAGUCGAGCGAACAGACGAGGAGCUUGCUCCUCUGACGUUAGCGGCGGACGGGUGAGUAACACGUGGAUAACCUACCUAUAAGACUGGGAUAACUUCGGGAAACCGGAGCUAAUACCGGAUAAUAUAUUGAACCGCAUGGUUCAAUAGUGAAAGACGGUUUUGCUGUCACUUAUAGAUGGAUCCGCGCCGCAUUAGCUAGUUGGUAAGGUAACGGCUUACCAAGGCAACGAUGCGUAGCAGACCUGAGAGGGUGAUCGGCCACACUGGAACUGAGACACGGUCCAGACUCCUACGGGAGGCAGCAGUAGGGAAUCUUCCGCAAUGGGCGAAAGCUUGACGGAGCAACGCCGCGUGAGUGAUGAAGGUCUUCGGAUCGUAAAACUCUGUUAUUAGGGAAGAACAAAUGUGUAAGUAACUAUGCACGUCUUGACGGUACCUAAUCAGAAAGCCACGGCUAACUACGUG